UCUUUUUUUCAUAUUUUCUUGGACCCCAUGCAAGUAUCGGUUUGAAUAGCAUAUCAUAAAUUGCGUUGGAGUUGCAGAGGUCGAGGUAGUGACUGACAGACUUCAAAGCUUACUCAAUCUCUCUCUAUUUAUCUUAUGCUUACUCGCAUUUAAGAUAGUUUGGCUUAAUGAUAUCAUUUUGUAUUAGAGACUUGUACUAGAGACAAGACCCAGGAUGUAUCUUUUUUUUAUAAUAACUUUUUGGUGGCUGUUCAGCCUUUUAUUAAAAUUAAUAAAGCAAAAACAAAAUUAUUCUGGCCAUAGGCCCAAUAAACAAAAGAAAAAAACAACAAAAGAAAAGAAGUACAAAUUGUAGAAAAUGAAUUUGGCUUCUGCAGUACACUUUCCAAAAGCAAAUCCGUUUAAUCCCAACUGUAAAACAGAUUUCUUUUUCUUUCCUUGUGGGUUAUCAACAAGCUUGAUUUGAUUAUUGUUGUGGUCAUCCUUCUCACACAAAGAGAAUCACUGCAUUUUCAUGUUUUUGAUCCUCUUAAUCUUGAUAAAUGUUUGAGGAUUAACUAUCUCCAGUGAAAUGGAGGAGGCAGCAUUCCGGAAAUAGCAAUUCUCCCAUCUAAAACAGUGUAUGUUCCAAAAGAGGAGUCUGGCAUAGAGUUUGCACACCUACGGAAAAAAGCUAUGGAUCAGGCAUUUGGGCCUCUCAUCAAGUCCCUUGCAUCACGUCGAUGGUGAAAGUGUUUCUGUGAUUUCAGAGCUGAUCUAGUGUUCAUCUCUUUUGUUGUGUAAGAUUCUUACAGAGCACAUAUGCAAGUUCAUUCUCAAUUCUAGAGGUUACAGUUCUUGCA